AGUUUAUGUUAAAUGGCGACAUCCUCUCAAAGUUGUGGAGUUUGUGACCUCCGUCACAUCACAAAACCAUCCAUAGUCUGGUGUACAGAAUGUGACGAGGGACUCUGUACAGAAUGCCAGGAACAUCAUGGUCUGUCUAAAGCAUCCAGAAGACAUAAAGUGAUUCCUAUUAUUGAAUACCAGAAAUUACCACCCGAUGUUCUUAAAAUUACUCAGUAUUGUAGCAAACACGAUGAAAAGUUUCAAAUUUAUUGCAAGAAGCAUGAAUGUCCCUGCUGCAGCAAGUGCAUAGUGGAAAGCCAUUCAGAAUGUCGGGAUAUCGUAAAUUUAGAUGACGUCAUUCAUAAUGUCAAAACCUCCAAUGCCUUGUGCGAGAUAGAGGAAACAUUAGUUGAAGUUGCAGAAAAUCUACAAAAAGUUCGUCAGCAUAUACAAGACAAUCGAUCGAAUUUAAAAGAUAAGAGAAUGGAAAUAGAAAAAGAAAUAAAGAAGACCCGAAUAAUGAUCAACCACCAUCUCGACAAACUACAAGAAGAUUUUCUGAAAAAACUCUUUGAGGUCGAAGAAAAAGAUAACUCGAAAAUUUGUCAAUUAGUUUCAUCCUUAGAGAUAAAGGAAAAAGAAAUAGCAGAAUACCAGAGAAAUGUUUCGAACAUCAAGCAACAUGCGACGGACCUUCAGUUGUUUCUUUCAAUGAAGCAGAUAGAAAAAGACGUAAAUAGCAAAGAUAAAUUCCUGCAAUCGACCGUAGAAAGCGAGGUACAAGUUUUUCUUUCAUAUAAGAUGAACACAGCUAUCCAGAAAAUCAUGUCCGAUGUAAAA
rnacentral:lncRNA from 1 species